CUGAGUUUUGUCUUUGUAGUUCAGAGAAGCAGUUGGUUGGUGGUGGGCAAGCAAUUGGAUUUAGUUGUUUCUGCUAGAUUUGGACUUUUCCCAACCUGUUGGAUCUCAACAUACAUCACUAUUGCUAUCCCACCUACAAGAGAGCACUAUAUAUCUCCACAACUGAGCUUCAUGGAGACACACCUAAGCCAAGAACAGCCAAGCCAUGAACCCCAAGACCAAUCCAAACACUAAACACAACCGUGUUGGGAAGAAUUAACCAGCAAACUAGAUCCAGAUGAGUAAGCCCCAUUACAAAAACAGAAAUAACAUGGAAAAUACAAGACAACAUUGUGCCUCCCCAAAUGAGCAAUCCCACAAUAAUGGCCAACUGGAAGAGUCCCUGAAGCAAAAUUCAAUACAAAGUAUUUAAAAGAA